rnacentral:rRNA from 1 species
GAUGAACGCUGGCGGCGUGCCUAAUACAUGCAAGUCGAGCGAACAGACGAGGAGCUUGCUCCUCUGACGUUAGCGGCGGACGGGUGAGUAACACGUGGAUAACCUACCUAUAAGACUGGGAUAACUUCGGGAAACCGGAGCUAAUACCGGAUAAUAUAUUGAACCGCAUGGUUCAAUAGUGAAAGACGGUUUUGCUGUCACUUAUAGAUGGAUCCGCGCCGCAUUAGCUAGUUGGUAAGGUAACGGCUUACCAAGGCAACGAUGCGUAGCCGACCUGAGAGGGUGAUCGGCCACACUGGAACUGAGACACGGUCCAGACUCCUACGGGAGGCAGCAGUAGGGAAUCUUACGCAAUGGGCGAAAGCCUGACGGAGCAACGCCGCGUGAGUGAUGAAGGUCUUCGGAUCGUAAAACUCUGUUAUUAGGGAAGAACAAAUGUGUAAGUAACUAUGCACGUCUUGACGGUACCUAAUUAGAAAGCCACGGCUAACUACGUG